UACGGAGGGUGCAAGCGUUAUCCGGAUUCACUGGGUUUAAAGGGUGCGUAGGCGGGCAGGUAAGUCCGUGGUGAAAUCUCCAAGCUUAACUUGGAAACUGCCGUGGAUACUAUUUGUCUUGAAUAUAGUGGAGGUGAGCGGAAUAUGUCAUGUAGCGGUGAAAUGCUUAGAUAUGACAUAGAACGCCCAUUGCGAAGGCAGCUCGCUACACUAUUAUUGACGCUGAGGCACGAAAGCGUGGGGGAUCAAACAGG
rnacentral:rRNA from 1 species